CAGGCCUGCUGUACCACACUUGUAAAGGCAUGGGCCCAGCUCAUCUGGGCAAGUACGAGGAAUUAGUGCAACCACAGAAGUCUUUGGCCCAGAGGUGGAUUUACCAAUAGAGGAAGAUGUGUCAUCAGAUGACUUUCAGUAUCGACACAGAAAGUGAAGAACUACCUAUCAAUUAUCAAAAGGUUUCCCCCUCUUAAUCUUCAUGCAAGGAGUGUUCCAGGUGACUUUUGGAUGAUUCGUCAGUUAUCACUGCCUGAGUCAUGCAUCCCUCUGAGUGGUCACAGUUUUUGGCUUCACAAGAUUCUAACAGCCACGAGAUAUGGCAUCUGUUAACUAAACAAAGCCUUCUAGCGCUGAGGUUCCAG
rnacentral:lncRNA from 1 species